UGUAAGAAUAGAUUCAGCCUCGAAUGUGUGU
rnacentral:piRNA from 1 species